GCGAAUGGUGGAUGCCUUGACUGGUAAAGGCGAUGAAGGACGUACUAGACUGCGAUAAGCUACGGGGAGCUGUCAAGAAGCUUUGAUCCGUAGAUUUCCGAAUGGGGCAACCCAAUGUAUAGAGAUAUACAUUACCUAUAUAGGAGCGAACGAGGGGAAUUGAAACAUCUUAGUACCCUCAGGAAAAGAAAUCAAUAGAGAUUGCGUCAGUAGCGGCGAGCGAAAGCGCAAGAGGGCAAACCCAGUGCUUGCACUGGGGGUUGUAGGACUGCAAUGUGCAAGAGGUGAGUUUAGCAGAACAUUCUGGAAAGUAUAGCCAUAGAGGGUGAUAGUCCCGUAUGCGAAAAACAAACCUUAGCUAGCAGUAUCCUGAGUAGGGCGGGACACGAGAAAUCCUGUCUGAAGCUGGGUCGACCACGAUCCAACCCUAAAUACUAAUACCAGAUCGAUAGUGCACAAGUACCGUGAGGGAAAGGUGAAAAGAACUGAGGUGAUCAGAGUGAAAUAGAACCUGAAACCAUUUGCUUACA
rnacentral:rRNA from 1 species